GUCACCUGCAGCUAGGUGGGUCAGGAAGACGCUGUGCCACCCAGCUCCUAGUACCCAGUAACCAAGGAGAGAUGGCAGAUGCCCUCCAGGACAGCCAUCUGCACAUGGGUGCGGUCCUCACCAGGGACCAGUCUGGCAGGAGGCACCCCUGUGAUUCCAGUGAUGCCUGCCAGUCCUCUCCUGCUGUCCCUGGAGGGGCCCACGCCUGUGCCCUGAAGGAGUUUCUCCCACGCUGGCUGUGGAUCGUCAGGAAUCCCGCUGGGCCAGGGGACAGCCCUACACAGCGCACCCCAAUUUUGUGGCCAGCCUUCAGGGUGCAAGAGCAGGUGCAGAAAACAGCUGAGCUUCAAAAAUGUGACAGAACCCUUCGACCCUGGGUGUCAGAUACGGGGCCAACUCCCCAAGGCCAACAGGGCGGCCAAUGUGGCUUCCCCUUCACCAGACCCCGCCAUGGCCACCCGGGGCCCCUGCUUGUGGGCUGAGAUGGGUUUGUGGUGGGAAAAAUUCGAGUGGCUGGGUGAGCUGCUUGGUGGUGAUGAGGUCUUCACUCCCUGUGCCCGCGCCGGUUCCCGCGCCGGCCCCGGAGGAGGAGCAGAGUGGCCGAGGGUGACCAGGACCAGGGAGGGCAUCCAGGCGAGAGCAGGGGCGCUGCUCCCCACCUGCCCCUCAUGACACAGUGACCACUUAGCUCUCAUCCACCCCUCACUGCAAGACACUUCUGUCCAUGGAGCCGAGCCCGGGCCGCACGCCAUCCGGGCGUCUCUGCUUCUCUGUCUACUUCCAC
rnacentral:lncRNA from 1 species